rfam:Erysiphe necator strain c c-strain-scaffold_14, whole genome shotgun sequence.
CCAGAUAACCCAUCAUCUGAGCUCAAACGGUAUGCAUUAAAAGUAAUUUUUUUGUGUAAAGCCCGUUAAUAAGUAUUUAAUACGUCCUUCCAAAUCCUAGGGGGGGGGGGAU